AUCACCAUCCAGUUUCUUAAUGCUGUCUCACAAGUGGUUCCCACGGAAAUCCUCCCACCUUCCAUAAUUAAUCACAAGAGUAACGCCCUUCUGGUCACAAACCUCGGAACGAGUGUUCACUUGUCCUGAGGCCUUAACAUCCGGGACCAGCGCUCGACGACUACCACGCCACCACAUACCUUCACAACCAUAGUGGUCGUCAAAAAAGGGAUGUAGCUUUUAAUUAUUUUCUUUCCACACUACAGAGUGUAAGGCAGGGGUUUGUGGAAGGGGUGGGUGAGGUGAAGGUGGGGACAGGGGGCGGCAGGGAUCGAGGUGGAGUGGGCAUAUGAAUGAGGCAGGGGAGGGUGAAAAAUAAGUAUUCUUGAUCUCCUACUUCCUUCAAUCACUUCCAACUUUAUUCUAAUGUAUCCUUUCUUCCCUCCCCUCCCUCUAUCCAUCCAUCCAUCAAGAAGACGAAGAAAAAGACUGGGGUGACGUGUGGCGAGGAGGAGGAGGUGGGGGUAUACCAGCCGCCCAGACCAUAGCCUCAUCAAUGUUAUGCCACAAGGGAGAAGGAUUGCUGUUGAAGAAUCGAGACAACCUGUGGUGUGCGAUUCACCACUAGGAGCGUCACACUUAUUUAUCAUUAAAAAUAAUUCAACUUAAUAAAUCUAAAAAAAACUAAUUUUACCUAACCUAACCGAACUAUAACAGGCUCUCUACUGAAAAUAAUAGGCUAUAAAAUAGUUAAAAAUAUUGUUGACUGUAUACCUAUUAGGCAAUUUCGAAUAUUAGCUAUGUGAUUUCUCUGCCAUAAAUUAAAAUUCCGUUUGUUUGCACUCAUAGAGCCAGAUGUCUAUUUUUAUGUUGCCUUCUUGAAAUGAUUAAAAAAGCAUAAUUACUUGACGCCCUUUGUUCGCUCGCAUAUGAUUUGACUGUGAUGAAGGCUACAAGCUUAUCGUUCGUGUAAUUGUGAUAUUUUAUCGAUUCAAAUUUUCUUUAACUCUUUACCAAAUAGCUGACACAAUUUGGUCUUAGAAAAAAGUACUUCUGAUGCAUGUGAUUUUUACCUUGGUGCAUUGGAUUUAACCAUAAGGCUACUUUUUUAAACGUUCAUCAGUGGGCAUGAUGGUUCUUUGUAUAUAAAAAAAUUCUUUGUAUAUAAAAAAAAUUCAAAUACAUUAUUGAAGAAAUAAUUUGAACGUUUACGGCAAGUAGCCAACGAUAUCAGACACAUUGAUUUUCACCCAAUCCAUGUGCCACAUCUAUCAAAAUUCAUGCUUGUGGUUGGACAGAUGAAAUAAAACCUUGUAUAGUGUUCUUAUAUCUUCACGAGCUACACACUAAGUAACCCACUGUACUUCAAGUUCUACAUCAUUACUCUUCUAACUACAGCUACUACCAAGACUACCACCACAACUUCCCCACUACAAUAGCACAACUUUCCUGUUAAAAAGUAGGUAUAUCACACAUCUAUUACUUCCUCUCAAUGAAAUAAAAAUCGGGAACAAAGUUUUAUUAAGGAGAAAAGGUUUAAACCUAUCCACCACAAGACCAAACCUCCUUUGCUACCCUUUUAUUAUAUUGUGGACCAUUCAGUUCAAUUUAACACCCUUCCAUCACAAAAUCCAAGCACCCCUACAAUAGACCUCACCUAUGGUAUCACUGCACUCCACACUGCAUGAUCACCCACGGCCACACCUCCCCCAAACAUAUGAGAACCCUGCUGACAACCUUCCCAGACACACAAUGGUCUUAAACAACCUUCACUCAAACCAACACCCACUUGACACAGUAUCUGAAAUGACGCCACACACACACACACACACACACACACACACACACACACACACACACACACACACACACACACACACACACACACACAGAAAGGAAGGGAGAAGGAUGCAACACAAUAGCAUAAAUGGAUAAAAGUGGCUUAUGCUGACGUAGAUGGCUUAAUCUCAGCGAGGCAAAACCUUUAUUUUUAUUUUUUUUUGUUUUUGAGGGAAAAGGAGCUAGACAUUGUGCUUUGUAGAGAUUAACUUAAACAAAAAUAUUAAUUCACACAGGAGGGAGAUAAUAAAUACAGGCUGGGGAGAAGAGAGAAAAGAGAAAUAGGCUGAAGUGGUAAUGGCAGUGCAGAAAAGCAUUAAUAUGGAACUGGGAGACAAUUUAAGAGGCCCUAAACAUUAUUAUUAUUAUUAAAUCCAGGAAUUAUCCAUGUCCCUAACUAACAGCAAUAAUGUAGUGAUCAAAUUGAAAACAGUAAAGGACUGUGACAUCAAAAGACGAGACACACAGGAAUGCGAGGUAACACUUCGGGAAAAGAAACUUACAGAAUUAAGAAAUGCGAAGUGGAAAACCUUUCUCUACCUUUAUGACUCUGCUUUGGAAAAAUGAGCCUGAAGUAAGAGGGAGAGAGACCAAGAAAAAGGAUAAAUUUGAGAAGAGUGACAACAGACCCAGAUAGGAGUACAAAAGAGCCAGAAAUAAACUUGUAAAACAUAACCGAGAAAGAGGAGAGAUGCAAUGAACUGUGGAAUGGCCUGGGAGGUCAUCCAGUUCCAAACCUUGAAUGAAUUCAAAGCCAACUUUGACCCACUGAGAGAGACAGGACCCCCUGACCUUUGCUAAUUUCCUGUAUAGCAAAAUACACACACA